GAAUCCCGUAUAUGGCACGGACUGCCGUUGCUCUGCGAUACACUCUCAACGAGUCGAGUUGUUUGGGAAUGCAGCUCCAAAUGGGUGGUAAAUGCCAUCUAAAGCUAAAUAUUGGCGAGAGACCGAUAGCGAACAAGUACCGUGAGGGAAAGAUGAAAAGCACUUUGGAAAGGGAGUGAAACAGUACGUGAAAUUGUUGAAAGGGAAACACUUGAAGUCAGUCGCGCCGUUCGGGACUCAGCCUUGCUUCUGCUUGGUUUACUUCCCGUUGGGUGGGUCAACAUCAGUUUUGGUCGGAGGAGAAAGGCCUGUGGAAGGUAGCAGCUUUGCUGUGUUAUAGCCACCUGUUGUAUACUUCGACUGGGACUGAGGAUCGCAGCACGCCUUUGGCCGGGGCUUUGCCCACGUACGUGCUUAGGAUGUUGGCAUAAUGGCUAUAAGUGACCCGUCUUGAAACACGGACCAAGGAGUCUAACAUGUGCGCGAGUGUUUGGGUGUUAAACUCGGACGCGAAAUGAAAGUAACAAGUUGGGAACACUUUUGUGUGCACCGACGCCCGGAGCUGACCUUCUGUGACGCAUCUGCGGUAGAGCGUAUAUGUUGGGACCCGAAAGAUGGUGAACUAUGCCUGAAUAGGGUGAAGCCAGAGGAAACUCUGGUGGAGGCUCGUAGCGAUUCUGACGUGCAAAUCGAUCGUCAAAUUUGGGUAUAGGGGCGGAAGACUAAUCGAACCAUCUAGUAGCUGGUUCCUGCC
rnacentral:rRNA from 1 species